rnacentral:rRNA from 1 species
CCCUUAGAUGUUCUGGGCUGCACGCGCGCUACACUGAUGCGCUCAACGAGUUUUAACCUUGCCUGGAAAGGUUGGGUAAUCUUUUUAAAACGCAUCGUGAUGGGGAUAGAUUAUUGCAAUUAUUAAUCUUCAACGAGGAAUUCCUAGUAAGCGCGAGUCAUCAGCUCGUGCUGAUUACGUCCCUGCCCUUUGUACACACCGCCCGUCGCUCCUACCGAUUGAACAAUCCGGUGAAUAAUUCGGACAGUCGUGCAUUAUAGUUCGCUAUUUUGCUUGUACUGGAAGUCUAGUGAACCUUAUUGUUUAGAGGAAGGAGAAGUCGUAACA